rnacentral:rRNA from 1 species
AGUAAUGUAUGGGGAUCUGCCCGAUAGAGGGGGAUAACUACUGGAAACGGUGGCUAAUACCGCAUAAUGUCUACGGACCAAAGCAGGGGCUCUUCGGACCUUGCACUAUCGGAUGAACCCAUAUGGGAUUAGCUAGUAGGUGGGGUAAAGGCUCACCUAGGCGACGAUCUCUAGCUGGUCUGAGAGGAUGAUUAGCCACACUGGGACUGAGACACGGCCCAG